UGGGGCAUGGUGCAAUGGCAGCAUACCGGACUUUGAAUCCGUUGGUCUUGGUUCGACUCCAAGUGCCCCGG
rnacentral:tRNA from 1 species